UACAGAGGGUGCAAGCGUUGUUCGGAGUUACUGGGCGUAAAGGGUGUGUAGGCGGUUGUUUAAGUUUGGUGUGAAAUCUCCCGGCUCAACUGGGAGGGUGCGCCGAAUACUGAAUGACUCGAGUGCGGGAGAGGUGAGUGGAAUUCCUGGUGUAGCGGUGAAAUGCGUAGAUAUCAGGAGGAACACCGGUGGUGUAGACGGCUCACUGGACCGUAACUGACGCUGAAACACGAAAGCGUGGGUAGCAAACAGG
rnacentral:rRNA from 1 species